rnacentral:rRNA from 1 species
GACGAACGCUGGCGGCGUGCUUAACACAUGCAAGUCGAACGAAGUGGCGAACGGGUGAGUAACGCGUAAUCAACCUGUCCUUCAGAGGGGGACAACAGUUGGAAACGACUCCUAAUACCGCCUACUGAUGGAGGGGAUUGUGACUGAUUAGCUAGUUGGAGGGGUAACGGCCCACCAAGGCGAUGAUCAGUAGCCGGUUUGAGAGGACGAACGGCCCAAUUGGGACUGAGACACGGCCCAGGCUCCUACGGGAGGCAGCAGUGGGGGAUCUGCCGCAAUGGACGAAAGUCUGACGGAGUAACGCCGCGUGAGUGAUGACGGCCUUCGGGUUGUAAAGCUCUGUUAAUCGGGACGCGGUACCGGAAUAGAAAGCCACGGCUAACUACGUGCCAGCAGCCGCGGUAAUAC